AUCACCCCUUUUCCUCUGGAAGCCGGUUCGGUGGGGCUGUCAAUCACAGUCACCCUGACCAGCCUGAAGAGGCACUGGAGUCAAGCAAGGAGCAGUCAUUGCACCCCUAUUGCCCAGUCACUGGGUUGAUGAGUGAGACAACCCUGAUGAAGCUCUACUGAGUUCCUGGAUCCAGCCUGACCUGAAGAGCAAGAGAGGUUCCCACAAGGCAGCCUCCUCCCAUGGACCACGCCUGUCAGCCUUGGUUUUGAUCCAGCCCCACACAAGGCCAACACCCCACUCUCCGGGAGUCAGAGGGAGAUUCUCUGUUUGAGCUGUGAUUGGAGCUCACAACAACCGGAAACAAACUUGUAUAAAGUACCUCGAUCUGCCACAGAUAGUGCUGGGGCUUUGAUGUUAUUCUAGCUGCAUUUUAUAGAUGAGGAAAGUGUGGCUCAGAGAGAAGGGAGCAGGUGUCUCAAGGAAGAAAAAUAUGGGGGCGCUUCUGGCGCAACGUGAUGUCACAGAAUAAAGGCCGGGACCUCAUGGCCGCUCGAAAACUCAACAGUACAGAGAAUGCCAGGACCCUUAAGUGAACCCCUACGAAC